GGGGGCAGAGCAGCAGAGUCAGCUCCGCUCAGCGGCGACAUCCGGGGCGCCGGCACAGCGGGCUACGGCCGAGAUUGAAGUGAGUGAAUUCAGAUAUAAUUCAAGCUUGUUAGAGCGCUUUAAAAAAAUACAAAGUUGAUUCGUUGCUUGAGAGCAAGUUAACUACUGCUGCUUACCGGUGAGAGACUUACAGGUGCUUGCCUGAAUUGCAAUAAAGGACUCAUAUAUUGAGCAAGACUUAUUUAUCUCUUCAUUUUGGAGAGCCUCAUAAACUGUUAUUACAGUUUCUCUACUGACUUUGAAAAGUUUGAAAGAGACACCUGUGCAGCUAAGAAAGCAUGAGCACGGCCAGGACAGAGAACCCUGUUAUCAUGGGUCUGUCCAGUCAGAACGGCCAGCUGAGGGGCCCUGUGAAGGCCAGUGCCGGCCCUGGAGGAGGGGGCCCACAGACACAGACACAGAUGAACCAGUUGAAGAACACCAGCACAAUCAAUAAUGGCACUCAGCAGCAAGCACAGAGCAUGGCCGCCACCAUUAAACCUGGUGAUGACUGGAAAAAGACUUUAAAACUCCCUCCAAAGGAUCUAAGAAUUAAAACUUCGACAGGGUUUUCCUGUGUAGCCCUGGUGGUCUUGAAACUAACUCUGUAGACCAAGCCAACGUUGAACACACAGAGAUCCACCUGCCCCUGCCUCUGCAUCUCUGUCUCUGCCCUCA
rnacentral:lncRNA from 1 species